rnacentral:rRNA from 1 species
AACGAACGCUGGCGGCAGGCUUAACACAUGCAAGUCGAACGGAUCCUUCGGGAUUAGUGGCAGACGGGUGAGUAACGCGUGGGAACGUACCCUUUGCUACGGAAUAACUCAGGGAAGCUUGAGCUAAUACCGUAUGUGCCCUACGGGGGAAAGAUUUAUCGGCAAAGGAUCGGCCCGCGUUGGAUUAGCUAGUUGGUGGGGUAAUGGCCUACCAAGGCGACGAUCCAUAGCUGGUCUGAGAGGAUGAUCAGCCACACUGGGACUGAGACACGGCCCAGACUCCUACGGGAGGCAGCAGUGGGGAAUAUUGGACAAUGGGCGCAAGCCUGAUCCAGCCAUGCCGCGUGAGUGAUGAAGGUCUUAGGAUUGUAAAGCUCUUUCACCGGUGAAGAAAAUGACGGUAGCCGGAGAAGAAGCCCCGGCUAACUUCGUG